AGAUGUUAUGGUCCAACAGAUCGGACCUGGUCACCAGGUACACCUGGCAUGUUAUCGUACGGUUGUCAGUUGUCACCGACGACCUUAUUUGACAGAUUUAAAGAUAUAUGGGCGUCUAGCUUCAGGCGUGAUGUGUGUUUUUAAUGGGUUCUGUGUGGUGUAGAACCCUCAAUUUUGCAGCUGGCGUGUUGUGCAAACUGUGUUCUUAAUAUAUCUUAUAACUGGUAACGUUUUGCCGACAUACUUGUCUUUACUUGAGGGACACGUGCACAGGGACUUAACCUGUUCUUGGCGUAAUUCAUUCGGAUUCCCAAAAGUAGCCGACCCGACUCACCAGGUCACCAAUCCCCACAGAAGGUGCUAACGAAGAAAGACAUCAGUACAAACCAAAGGGCAGGCGCCCCUUAGGUAGACCCAGAAAGAGAUGGAGGGACAGCAUACAGGAGAUACUGACAAAGUACAGACUGGGCAGACUAGUUAGACUGGAAGAGGAGGGGAUCUUCCAUGAUCGGGAAGAGUGGAAGAGACGAUGCUCUCAACUGACAGGCCCUAAAGCCUACCUGGGAAAUAUGUAAGAUAAGAGUCUGGAACAGUUCAAGGGAAGGUUUCCUCAAAGAGAGCGACAAUACCCUGCCAUGAAAUGAGAUGAAACCCUUUUAUAUUUUGCAUAUGUUUAUUGCACAGAACACGGCUCCGUGGGCGAAGAGACGCUGAUAUGAUGUCUGUGGAACCUUCACCAAAGCACGGAUCAACACAAUCGACCCCUUAUUCAAGCAUUCCGUGUGACCCAAGUAUUGACCCUUAUUUAAACGCUAGAGCGUUUGUCGCACGGAAUGCCUUUGAUUAAUCGUCCUAGUAAUGAUGACAGGUGUACUGUCAUUAGAAAAUAACUGCAGACUGUAAUUUUACUCCCAUAGCUCAUCUCGCUCCAAAUGAAUCUGUAAUCAGAGGAGUAAAUACGGAAAAGAUAGCCAUUAAAUGUUCCUAACUUGUGACAUAAACGGUUAGUAUACCUCCCAGAUGUACUUGGUUGUCUUAGUGAAAACGUCACGUGGCUGACCUAAGGUCCCACCCGGGCUGGAUAAUUGGCACCUCGCUCCAGGCGUCCUUCAAAGUGAUCUGUUGUUUACAUCAGAUGUGGAAGGUUCCUUUUUGAUCAUGGCGAUUUUAUCCUAUAUUAGUACGUAUAAUACCAUGCAGUAUGCUGUGCAGUUUUCUAGAGAUCUGUGAUUGGAGAAUAGUGCAAGUAACAGACACGAUCAUUACAUCCAGAGAAAACUCUAUGUUUGGAUAUAUAAGACUCACAUUUGGGUAUAAUACAUGUUUUGAAUGGAGUCAACAUGUGUUAAGAAGUCUAUACAAUCCUGGAUAGAAGUAUCAUUGUCAAGUAAGCUGUCUAGUCUUAAAGAAGGUAUAUUUAAGCGAUAUAUAUAUAUAUAUAUAUAGCUGAUGCUGGUUCUGAAAAUUAGGGAUAAUAAUUCACUUUGACUACUUGCGGUAUGAUGCCACUCUCUUAUCUGUAGACUUAUGUUCUACUCCUAAUCUUAGGAAAAUCCCUAUGACUCAGACAUAUCCCAAUAUGUUUCUUUUCCUACAUAACAAAUUUAGACUGCUCUCUGAUAUAGACGUUCAACGUACCUGGGCGACGAUCUGUUAAUGUUCCACAUAUUGCCACUAGGCCAAACUAGUCAAGCCCUAAUUUCAUUUUGUUAUGUUUUUUUUUUUUUCAUCUUUAUAUCUUUCGUAAUGGGAACUAAGGUAUAUAUUACUCCUAGCUGUUACGAUAAGUACCGUUUUAUCCCUAGUUAUCUACUUGGGCAUUUUGUCUAUAACGAGGGAAAGACACGCAGAGGUUUGCAAUCAUCUCUUUUGUCUCUUCUCCCAUUGUGAUUUUGAUCUUAAAUUAAAAUAAAUAAACAAAUACUUCUA